CCCGCCGGACCUGACUGCUAUCGGAUUGAUACUAAGCCAUGCGAGUCUUUGUAGUAAUACAAGGCAGACGGCUCAGUAACACGUAGUCAACCUACCCUAUGGACAAGAAUAAUCUCGGGAAACUGGGCAUAAUUCUUGAUAGAUCAUAAUGCCUGGAAUGGUUUAUGGUUAAAAUGAUUCGUCGCCAUAGGAUGGGACUGCGGCCUAUCAGCUUGUUGGUGAGGUAAUGGCCCACCAAGGCGAUUACAGGUACGGGCUCUGAGAGGAGAAGCCCGGAGAUGGGUACUGAGACACGGACCCAGGCCCUAUGGGGCGCAGCAGGCGAGAAAACUUUGCAAUGUGCGAAAGCACGACAAGGUUAAUCCGAGUGAUUUCUGCUAAAGAAAUCUUUUGCCAGUCAUAAAACCACUGGUGAAUAAGGGGUGGGCAAGUUCUGGUGUCAGCCGCCGCGGUAAAACCAGCACCUCAAGUGGUCAGGAUGAUUAUUGGGCCUAAAGCAUCCGUAGCCGGCUUUGUUAGUUUUCGGUUAAAUCCAUGUGCUCAACGCAUGGGCUGCCGAAAAUACUGCAUAGCUAGGGAGUGGGAGAGGUAGACGGUACUCAGUAGGAAGGGGUAAAAUCCUUUGAUCUAUUGAUGACCACCUGUGGCGAAGGCGGUCUACCAGAACACGUUCGACGGUGAGGGAUGAAAGCUGGGGGAGCAAACCGGAUUAGAUACCCGGGUAGUCCCAGCUGUAAACGAUGCAGACUCGAUGAUGCAUUGGCAUAAUAGCCAGUGCAGUGUCGCAGGGAAGCCGUUAAGUCUGCCGCCUGGGAAGUACGUACGCAAGUAUGAAACUUAAAGGAAUUGGCGGGGGAGCACCACAAGGGUGAAGCCUGCG
rnacentral:rRNA from 1 species